rnacentral:tRNA from 1 species
GGGGAUAUGGCUCAGUGGUAGAGCGCUUGCCUAGCAUGCAUGAGGCACUGGGUUCAAUCCCCAGCACCA